AGUCUGGUUCAGGAGACCGGGGGCGGGUACUUCCGGCAUGAUUGCCCAAUCGCAGAGGUGGGGCACUUUCUAUAAAAGCUUCAGCCUCGGGCGCGUGCUUUCUUUUGGGAAUCCAGUGGCGGCCGUGGGCGCUUGUCUGUGCGGUCGCUGCGAGUCCACGUUAGGGGAGGAUCUGGGCCCCGAAUGGGGCUGAGGGGUCCUCCAGGGCCAUCAUCCGCCGGGGCUCCGCCUCUGUCUUCAGCGUUGUACGCGUUCCUUGCUCCGCCCGCCUUCCCCCCCAACCCGUCCGGUUCUUUUGGGAAGGUGCGACCCCAGACCGACUUCUCUCCGCAGGUAAGCCUGGGCCGGGCUUGGUUUCCCCUAUGCAGCUUGGAGCCUGUGAUGAAUUGCUUUCGUUUCUGACACCUCGUAUGAAAACUGCAUGUGCAGUCUGAUUAUUUUGCAAGACUGAGGCUUCAGGGUGCGCCCCCUUGACAGGAGGGGCUGGUGUGAAAACAUCUCCAAAAAAUCGGGGUAGCGGGCUUCUGUCUACAUUUCGGCUCUGUGUGUCUGACUUUUAGGGCGGUCGGUGACGUGGUUGGAGACCGUGGACGUAAAUGAACGUCAGCCCGGGGCCUGGUGGUAAGGCGGGAGUCCACGUCCGUAUCUGCGGCGCUUAACAAUAAAGCAGAGGUGGUGAGUUGAUGGGA
rnacentral:lncRNA from 1 species